UUUUCAUUUGACUCCCAGUAACUGGAGUGAAAGACAAAAGACACAGACAGACCUGACUCCUGCCACCAACCCCCUACCCGACCCCUCCCUCAGCCCCACCCCAGGCAGCCAGUUUCAAAUGCCUCUGGGCCGGAAAACACGUGACUUGAUGGCUAGGAGAGAGGUGCCAGCCCCUUGUGCAUCCCUCCCACUCACAGGAGACUAAAACCUCUCUCUGCGUUUUGCUGAGCCUAGGUGUUCUCCGAGGGUCCCUUCCACAGAUGUUAUGUUCUCGACGCUUUUCUUUGGGUCACAGUUAUGAACCAAAGCCUGCAACUGUAUAAUCGGAGUAAAGAGAUGGUUGUGGGAAGGAGGAAGUUUCAGAGAGACACUUGGGAGAAAGUUCAUCAUACGCUUGUGGUAGAAGAAGGGCUACACGGGCCGAGAUUUCCAUCACAAGAGAAAACUGACCUGGAAGAAGCUGUGGUGGACUAGAGGGAGCAUAGAAGAACAAUGGGAAAACCAACUUUAUAGAGGCAUGAACCAAACACCCCACCAUGCGCAACUGAUGUGCCCUACCAUUAUCUGCCAAUCAACUGAUGUGCCCAAUCA